UACGAAGGGGGCUAGCGUUGCUCGGAAUCACUGGGCGUAAAGCGCACGUAGGCGGCUUUUUAAGUCAGAGGUGAAAUCCUGGAGCUCAACUCCAGAACUGCCUUUGAUACUGGAGAGCUUGAGUCCGGGAGAGGUGAGUGGAACUGCGAGUGUAGAGGUGAAAUUCGUAGAUAUUGGGAGGAACACCAGUGGCGAAGGCGGCUCACUGGACCGGUUCUGACGCUGAGGCGCGAGAGCGUGGGGAGCGAACCGG
rnacentral:rRNA from 1 species